ACCACUGGUUUCAGCUUAGAGAAAAAAGAAAAAAUUGUCAAAGAAUCAAUCAGUCAACAACUAACGUCUUCCUGUGAACUUUGUGUUUUCUGACGUCUUGUUUCAUGAAUGCUGCAGGCCUACACAGAGGAGCUGGUGGACCUCCACCGCAGACUGAUGGCAUUAAGGGAGCGAAACGUCCUGCAGCAGAUUGUCAACCUGAUCGAGGAGACCGGCCACUUUAACGUGACAAACACCACCUUUGACUUUGACCUCUUUUCAUUGGACGAGUCCACCGUCCGCAAACUACAGAGCUACCUGGAGGCGACGGCCACGUGACAGGAAGCGGCGGGGGGCGGCGUGUGGAUGUCAGCGGCAGAGGUAGCCUCGCCAUCAUGCCUGCUCUUUGCGGAAGAGACGAGCAGAAACGUCUGUCGCGGCCUUUUCACGAGCCUGACUGAAGCAUCGAACAACCACACCACGAAACAGAAACACACGAACAGUCGCAAGCACACAACACCACCUUCACGUGACGCUGGGGAGGAAACAGGAGGAGGAGGAGGUGGUGUGUGAGGAAACGCCGGAGCAUCUGACCUCCGUCUGGUCAGGGUUUUCACUACACACACUUCGAAUCUGUGCCGAGCUGAGGAAUUCGCCCAACAAACCCCCACCCCGUCCCUCCCUCCUGCACUUAAACCGCUCCCGCCUCUGCAAACCUAAUACUCCCCUUCCUCCUCCUCUUCCUCUUCUCCUCCUCCUCCUCCUCCUCCACAUGCACACUCCUGUCUGAGCAGAACACUCCGGCCCCAGCAUUGUCAGCUGGAGCUCAUUUCUCUUCCAACACACUCCUGAGUUGUGUGUGAACGCCGUCCGUGAGUCUGCGCGCGACUCGUUCUGCUGAGGUUUAAGAGGACAUGUUGUCUUUGUGGUCACCGACUUCUUUGUUUAUGAAACUUGAGCACAAACAGCCGGUUGCAUUUCUACCACCAGUCACUCGCCAACAAGCACACUUUGCCCUGCUAACCUCUACCUCCCGUUUGGCAUUAUUAGUUUAUAAGCACUGAAAAUGCUUUUAACACACUUUAGUUUUCUUGUAAAUGACAGAAAAAGCUUCUUGACAUUUUUUUAUUUUGGGUUUUAAGAAGUAAAAACAUUGAUUUUUCUGUUUUGUUUUUUUUCCGCCGAUGUAAAGUUUUUGUUACAGAGCUAAUUGAUGGUUGUCUUCUAGAACUGUUAAUUUUUUUAAUCACUACAGAAAAGAUUAAUAGUUGCCUCAUUGUUGUUGCUUCAUUAUUGUUAGAUACAAAUUACCCAGAAAGUAGCACACUUUUGUUUUUAAUUUAAAAACUAACUUUUGUUGUUAAAAUGCAAAAUUAAAGUUACUUCAGCCAAGAUUAAGAAAAGAGAGGCUGUCUGGUUGCAACAAAUUUAGAUUGAGUUUGAGUUUUAUCCGAUAAUAAAUGACAAAGUAAUGAUAUAUUGUGAGUUUAUAUUGAAUUAAUUUGCAUUUUAUCUAUCCUUUCUUUGGAUAGCCUGAAAAGUUUUCCAAGUACUGAAACAUUUUUUCAUGAAAAAUGUUGUUAAAAGCUUAAAUUACGUAUUUAUGAUCCAUGUAAAAAAGACAAAUGAACUGAAGGGAUGAACACGUUUAAAAUCUGCAAGGUUUUCUCUGAUUGGCAGCACAAGCCAGGAAAAUCUGAAUUUAUUUCCCUUUUUAAUUAAAUUACGUCACUGUUUACAACAACCACUCUUCUUGAAUUGCAUAAAAAACAGGGAAAAUGCUUUGAUGCCUAAAUGUUAAUUUUUUAAAAAAAUCUUUUUUUCUGUUGAAUUAAAACAGAAACAUCUUUAUUCAUCACUCUUUUGAAAUCUGUAAAAACAGUAAUCAUCCUCUCAGAAAAUUAGUAUCAACCAGCAAAAUUCUAGCAUUAUGGUACAAAAUGGGUCGGGAUAGGAUGAGUUUUCUUUCUUUGAUCAAAAACUAAAACGUUUUGCCUUUAAAACUAAGGAAAAAAUAAAACGGUGAUGGUUCAGAGAAAACUUGCUAAAACCCCAAUUUAAGAGUAAAAGUUUUGCACAGUGCUCUGUGUCAUUAUUUCCUUUUUUUGUUUUCAGUGCUUGUAAACACAGUAAGGAGGGGUUGUGGUGAAGUGAUGCAUAUUUUCUCCUGUGUGUGUCCCGCUCCGGUUUUCAGCCGUCUGUACAUUCGAAAACACAUGUUCUGUUGCGUUCCUGUGCUUUCCCACUGAAAGCUGAGCCUUGACCUCCAGCAGACCCCUUAACGCCCCCCUGCACCCCCGCUGCUCCCCCUCUGCUCUGCGUGAACGAAAGGGCUCCGAAGCUCCUGGCCACAGCAGUGGAGGAUCGCUCCUGAAUUUGCCUUCUAGGUGGGGUGGAAAAAAGAAACGACAAAAACAAACAAAAAAACAGUAGCCAUACUUCCCAACAAAACAAAGAGGAGAAAAAGAGGGGGGGGCACGCUUUUUUACAUUUUAUUUUUCUACAAGUGCAUUUUGUGUAUUUAUUCCCAAGACAACCUGUGAGCUCUGAAUGUAUAUUGCUUUUACUUUUUUACGGCUUGCAACAGCCCCACUCCAGUGCCUUUUCCUGCAGCGCGCAGCACUAAGCGGGGGGUGUGCGCUCUGCUAGCGUCGCUCACACAGAUUGAAGACCCCACCCUCCCCCUCCUACCGUAAACCCCUCCUGGGGGGAACAAGUGUUAAUUGGGAUGCCUGAACAUCCAGUAUUGUCUUAAUGGUUCCCAUCCCUGCUGUGGUCCUUCUUUUUUUCUUUUUUUUUUUUUCUUUCUUUUGUUAAAUCAAGAAUAUCUCCGUUAGUCCAACAUAAUUGAUAGUUUUUGUGGAUGGUGGUCAUCUUUUUUCUGUUCUAAGGUUAGGGUUUGU